rnacentral:siRNA from 1 species
UGACAAAACCUUUCUCGCCUUUA